CGGACGGGUGAGUAAUGUCUGGGAAACUGCCCGAUGGAGGGGGAUAACUACUGGAAACGGUAGCUAAUACCGCAUAAUGUCUGCGGACCAAAGCGGGGGACCUCCGGGCCUCGCGCCAUCAGAUGAACCCAUAUGGGAUUAGCUUGUAGGUAAGGUAACGGCUUACCUAGGCGACGAUCCCUAGCUGGUCUGAGAGGAUGACCAGCCACACUGGAACUGAGACACGGUCCAG
rnacentral:rRNA from 1 species